rnacentral:rRNA from 1 species
UACAGGGGGUGCAAGCGUUGUCCGGAAUGAUUGGGCGUAAAGCAUCUGUAGGUGGUUUCUAAAGUCUACUGUUAAAUCCCAGAGCUCAACUUUGGCAAGGCAGUGGAGCACUUAGAGACUUGAGUACGGUAGGGGUAAAGGGAAUUCUUAGUGGAGCGGUGAAAUGCACAGAGAUUAGGAAGAACACCAGUGGCGAAAGCGCUUUACUGGGCCGUAACUGACACUGAGAGAUGAAAGUUGGGGGAGCGAAAAGG